AAGUGAAGAGUCCGAGCAACUAAGACAUUAAUGACAAUAAAAAUUAUAAAAUAUAAAAAUAAGGCUUCAACAUAUUUUCUAAGAGGGAUGUACUACUUGAAUUGUCAUUGAAAGUAGUGGUUGCCUAAUUGAUCCAAAGUUGGUUAGCAUUUCCAAUGAUCAUAAUUCCUCCUAUGAACAAGGCCUUUCCAUUUGUAAUGGUACUUACUCCUCGAUUAAUUCAUCGAAUAGCAUAAAUAAUCUUGUAGAUGGGUUCUCGGACUCUUUUGUAAGCCCUCUU
rnacentral:lncRNA from 1 species